GACGAACGCUGGCGGCGUGCCUAAUACAUGCAAGUUGAGCGCUGAAGGUUGGUACUUGUACCAACUGGAUGAGCAGCGAACGGGUGAGUAACGCGUGGGGAAUCUGCCUUUGAGCGGGGGACAACAUUGGGAAACGAAUGCUAAUACCGCAUAAAAACUUUAAACACAAGUUUUAAGUUUGAAAGAUGCAAUUGCAUCACUCAAAGAUGAUCCCGCGUUGUAUUAGCUAGUUGGUGAGGUAAAGGCUCACCAAGGCGAUGAUACAUAGCCGACCUGAGAGGGUGAUUGGGCAAAUUGGGAACGAGAAAACGCCCCAACUCCCAAGGGAGGGAGCAGUAGGGAAUUUUUGGCCAUGGAGGAAAGUCUGACCGAGCAAAGCCGCGGGAGUGAAGAAGGGUCUCGGAUCGUAAAAAUCCGUUGGUAGGGAAGAACGUUGGUGAGAGUGGAAAGCUCAUAAAGUGACGGUAACUACCCAGAAAGGGACGGCUAACUACGUG
rnacentral:rRNA from 1 species